rnacentral:rRNA from 1 species
AACGGAGAGUUUGAUCCUGGCUCAGGACGAACGCUGGCGGCGUGCUUAAUACAUGCAAGUCGAACGAGGAAUGGAGAGCUUGCUCUCUAUAGCCGAGUGGCGAACGGGUGAGUAACACGUGACCAACCUGUCUUUAGGUGAGGGACAACCUGGGGAAACCCGGGCUAAUACCGCAUAAUGUCUUUUUUUCACAUGUGAAUGAGACCAAAGGGGGCCUCUGCUUGCAAGCUUUCGCCUAAUGAGGGGGUCGCGUCGUAUCAGCUUGUUGGUGAGGUAACGGCUCACCAAGGCGAUGACGCGUAGCGGGUCUGAGAGGACGAUCCGCCACAUUGGGACUGAGAUACGGCCCAGACUCCUACGGGAGGCAGCAGUAGGGAAUAUUGCGCAAUGGUCGAAAGACUGACGCAGCGACGCCGCGUGUGGGAGGAAGCCUUUCGGGGUGUAAACCACUGUCAGGAGGGAAGAAUCCCGAGUGUUCGAAUAGGGCACUCGAUUGACGGUACCUCCAGAGGAAGCGCCGGCUAACUCCGUGCCAGCAGCCGCGGUAAGACGGAGGGCGCAAGCGUUGUUCGGAAUUACUGGGCGUAAAGCGCACGCAGGCGGUUUGCUCAGUCCUUUGUGAAAGCCCGGGGCUCAACCCCGGAAUUGCAUGGGAUACUGGCAGACUGGAGACUGGUAGAGGCUAGCGGAAUUCCUGGUGUAGCGGUGGAAUGCGUAGAUAUCAGGAAGAACACCUGUGGCGAAGGCGGCU